rnacentral:rRNA from 1 species
AGCUCCAAUAGCGUAUAUUAAAAUUGUUGCAGUUAAAACGCUCGUAGUUGACUUUCAUCAAUGUGGGUAACUUUCAGAGGUGGCCCGUUUUGAUGCGAUGUGGUUGUAAUGACUACGUUCACCUUGAAUUAAGGAUAGCGCUUAAAGUGAGGUUUCUUUUGUGAUACAGCAUGGGAUGGUCGAUAGGCACAGCGUGGUUUGGCUGGUUCCCCAUAAGCAGUACAAUGGGUAACAGGAGUGACUAGGGGGACUCGUAUUUGACUGUCAGAGGUGAAAUUCUUGGACCAGUCGAAGACGAACAGCUGCGAAGGCGUUUUCCAGGGGCGCUUUCA